UCUCCUCUCCUCCUCAAAUAUCUGCCAGCCCACUCCUUUUUAAGAGAAAAUAAAUCAUUUCCAUUGUGUGCAAAUAAAAUCGACUUGACAUGCUUGCCAAUAGCUGGUAGGUAAAGGAAAGUGUGGACUGGCACUUGUUAAUUAAUUCCUCCUUUGCUCUCCCCCCCUUUUUUUUUUUAAGUUACAAUUUUCCUUUGUAAGACCAGGAAGACGGGUUUCAACCCUCAGGGGUUUUGUUUGUUUGUUUUUGUUUAUUAUUAUUAUUAUAUUAAAGAAGAAUAAAAGCUACAGCCACCCAAACUUCAACAAGACUAUACAAGUAAACACCCAACAGCAAGCCGGCUGCGCGGAUUCAUUAAACGAGGAUCCCUCGCAAGAGUUUUACUGCACUCCAUUUAUCAAUUGGACUUGACAACAAAAGAAAGAACGGGGGGAAAACCUGGGGCAGAUUCAAGUCACUUCCACUCUGUGUGAAGGAAGGGGGAGUUCCUUACGGGCACGGUGCGGGUUGUCAGUCCCGCUGCAGCAGCAGCAGCUUUUGUGCGAUGCUUCUCUCUCUGCCCCCCGAUCCUAUAACUGUCACGGCCUCAGAAGAACACAGCGGGCACAGAGACAUGGAAGCCCGUCUCUGCCUCGCACCGACACGUUCCGGCGACACGCUCCGCGCUUCCAGAGAACACACAGAAAUUAAAAAGUUUGUUAAAAUCCUCUUUCUAGGAGGCGAGGGGGCAGUUCCGCGUAUCGCCUCGUUCUAUCCAACGUGACAGAGGUUCAAUAAAAGCCAACGGAGAUGC